rnacentral:rRNA from 1 species
UACGUAGGGCGCAAGCGUUGUCCGGAAUUAUUGGGCGUAAAGAGCUCGUAGGCGGCCUGUUGCGUCCGCUGUGAAAUCCCGGGGCUUAACCCCGGGCGUGCAGUGGAUACGGGCAGGCUGGAGGCAGGCAGGGGAGAACGGAAUUCCCGGUGUAGCGGUGAAAUGCGUAGAUAUCAGGAGGAACACCGAUGGCGAAGGCAGGUCUCUGGGCUGACACUGACGCUCAUGCACGAAAGCGUGGGGAGCAAACAGG